rnacentral:rRNA from 1 species
UACGUAGGUGGCAAGCGUUUGUCCGGAAUACUGGGCGUAAAGCGCACGCAAGCGGUCUGCGAAGUCUGGCGUGAAAAUCCCCUGGCUUAACCAGGGGCGGUCGCUGGAAACUGGUGGGCUUGAGGCGAUGAGAGGGGGUGCAGAAUUCCCGGUGUAGUGGUGGAAUGCGUAGAGAUCGGGGAGGAAUACCAGUGGCGAAAGCGGCACCCUG